GAGAUUUCCACCUACUGAAAUGUUUCCAUACUUAAUUUCUACUCAGAGAACCUGAAGUCACUUCUAACAGUAUCUCUCAAGACCGAUACAGUUGAGCUCCAUCUGCCCUUCUAACAUCGGCGGCCUGGCAACAGUGUCUUGCUAAGCUGGGAAACAUGGUAUGGUGAGAAGGUCUCUAACUUCGGUCAAGACUCAGUUCUGCCACUCUCCACAAUGACUCUGGGCAAGGUGCUUCAGAGCACUAUCCCAGCAUGGCCUUGUCCUGGACUGCAUGGGGUUCAUUCUUCAUCCUCAAUGGUCAGGAGCCACUUCCAACAGGUGCCCAGGGAGGACAAAGGAUCCAGGCUUCACUUUUCCUGAUGGAGCAAAAGGAGUAUCAGGAGAUAAAUGGUGAUGCCAGACUGGAUCUCAGACAACACUGGAAGCAUCUCCAGGCUUUCAUAACACCAGAUUAAUCCAUAUGAAUGGAAAGGACAAUUCAUUUGUCCUUCCCUGUGACCCUCAUUCUGUCCCAGAUGGACCACGCUAAAGAGGAUGUAGAGUAUGAAGUCUGUCUGAAUAUGUGAAAGGACUGACACCAGGGUUGUUGUGAAGCUGUGGGGCCUUUGUUGAGCCAGAGAUACGGCUUGAAGGGAGAAAAUGAAACAUAGGUUGUGGCUCAGUUCUCAGCUAAGUACCCAGUACCCAGUUGAGUAGAGUAAGUGAGCUGCCUAUGCAAGUCAGCCAGAGGAAGACACAGAUGUCAGGGAAG
ensembl:lincRNA Gm44670 predicted gene 44670